rfam:Myotis davidii contig324983, whole genome shotgun sequence.
GGUGGUUCUUGGGUGACACACCCUGGAAUCUGGGCUCCUCUUCUCUAGUUCCAGGCGCGUCACCUGAGAACCACA